UCUAAUCUUAUAUAGGAUAGGACCAAUUUUCCACUUAAGUCAUCAAUGCUCAUAAGACUUUCAUUAGAAUUUGAUUUUUAGCAUCAAUAACAUUAUAAUAUAUUAAUAUUAUAUUUAUAUUAAUAUAAAUAUAAUAUUUAUAUUUAUAUAAAGUUUAGAAGCAAAAAUGAAUGGCCUUAUAUUUACUAAAGAUAUGAUAGGUAUUUUAUACAGUUUUUUUAAAAAAAUAGGUACUCAAUCAAACAUAAGCUACUCUACAAUAAGUCAUUUUUCUAAGGUCAACCAAAUAUACCAAGAUCCUAUUUCC
rnacentral:lncRNA from 1 species